rnacentral:rRNA from 1 species
GAUGAACGCUGGCGGCGUGCCUAAUACAUGCAAGUCGAGCGAACGGACGAGAAGCUUGCUUUUCUGAUGUUAGCGGCGGACGGGUGAGUAACACGUGGAUAACCUACCUAUAAGACUGGGAUAACUUCGGGAAACCGGAGCUAAUACCGGAUAAUAUUUUGAACCGCAUGGUUCAAAAGUGAAAGACGGUCUUGCUGUCACUUAUAGAUGGAUCCGCGCUGCAGUAGCUAGUUGGUAAGGUAACGGCUUACCAAGGCAACGAUGCAUAGCCGACCUGAGAGGGUGAUCGGCCACACGGGAGCGGAGACACUGUCCAAGAUCCGACGGGAGGCAGCAUUAGGGAAUCUACCGCAAGGGGCGAAAGCCUGACGGAGCAACGCCGCGUGAGUGUUGAAGGUCUUCGGAGCGUAAAACUCUGUUGUUAGGGAAGAACAUAUGUGUAAGUAACUGUGCACAUCUUGACGGAACCUAAGCAGAAGGCCACGGCUAACUACGU